rnacentral:rRNA from 1 species
AGAAUCAACGCUGGCGGCGUGCCUAACACAUGCAAGUCGAACGCGAAAGGGGAGCAAUCCCUGAGUAGAGUGGCAAACGGGUGAGUAACACGUGGGUGACCUGCCUUCGAGUGGGGGAUAACGUCCCGAAAGGAACGCUAAUACCGCAUGACAUCCUGCCUUUUAACAGGCGGAGAUCAAAGCUGGGGAUCGCAAGACCUAGCGCUUGAAGAGGGGCCCGCGUCCGAUUAGCUAGUUGGUGGGGUAAUGGCUCACCAAGGCAUCGAUCGGUA